AGAUGGCCUGUGCACUAGCAUUCCUUACAGGGCCAGGCACCCGAAUUGCAAGAAAGAGACAAUGGAGACUGAUUACCGCAUCUCAGCAGAAACUAUCUCCUGGACCAGUAUAUGUUCAAGUACAAACUUUUGAUAUUUAAAUCACGGAUAGGUAAAGAUUUGAGCCCUCAAUGUGUGAUAAUGUGUACAAGGACUUCUGCAUAGGUAAACAAAUUCACGAAGGAGGAAGUUGCGAAUGACUGGACUUCACCAUAAUGAAAACGGGGGCUAAGGAAUUCCAAAAUCACCUAACCCAAUUGACACAGCCGAAAGAAAGAAUGUCUCAAUUAGAUUAUAUUGAAACUGCUUCAGGCUGGUUACAUUGCAUUUAUUUAAACCAUCAAUGAUUCAAUUGUCUUUAAA